CUCGCGCUUGCGCCCACGCCUCAUAUGUUGCUCCUCCUCUCUGUCUCUCUCGACCACCUCCCCUUUUCUCCUUGAGGCAACACACCAAUAGUACAUCCACCGCCUGGCUUGUGCCACAUCGUUCCCAUGUGGUGUCUUCCGCCCUCUCUCUUUCUUUAUGCGAGCAACAAUUCAUGGGACUGUUAGAGUUGUGUCGAAUAUUGUAUACAAGAUAGGUUACAGUUGGACUCUGAGUAGUAUUGUGUUUAUAUAGGAUAUGGAGUUGUGUCCUGGUAGGACACUUGUAUCCUAAGCCUCUUAUAUAUAGAGGGGGUAGACACACGAUGUAACCCAUACCAACAUAAUAGCACUGGAACGCAGGGAAAGCCGGCGGCAUGUGACAGUGUCCAGAACGACCGGGUGCGGUAUUGUAGCGGUGUCACGGACAGGGACGGCGACUGAAGAGAAAAACUAAUGGCGUGGCGAUAUGUUCUGUUCGGGUAAGCAAUCGGAAUCAGCAUGUGCUUGGAAACAGAUCGGUUUGAUCUCGAUUGAUGGAUAGCGUGGAGCGUCUGCGGCAGCAAGGAGCAGUGAAGGUAGCGACCCAACGUGAAGAAUCCAACUGGUGGCACGUAACCUAGGCGGGGCUGCAGCCGCGGCCCAAAGGCUAACGGGAGCCGCGUCCCCAGGCAGUUUGGACAUCGGGGAGCACGAAGACAACGUGUUCGCGUGGGAGCUCCGUCCAUGGCGUGUGCUAUUGUGCGUCGCUGCUGCCCAUAGUAGAAGCCAAGAGGCAGGCACGUGGAAUCAUCAUGCUAGUAUUUGGGCUAUUGUAGACAUCGUAAGGAUUUGUUUGAGAAAUUUUUUUGGCACAAAGACUAGUCGAGACCGGGAUGCUAUCAAGAAGAAAGAAGAUAAGUCCAGGAGCUAUAUAUGUGUGGUGUUCACACGGGAAGGCUGUGAGGGAUUUUGCUUUGGUUUUCUUU